UACGUAGGGGGCAAGCGUUGUCCGGAUUUAUUGGGCGUAAAGAGCUCGUAGGUGGUUCGGUAAGUCGGAUGUGAAAUCUCCAGGCUCAACCUGGAGGGGUCAUUCGAUACUGCUGUGACUUGAGUCCGGUAGGGGAGCGUGGAAUUCCUGGUGUAGCGGUGAAAUGCGCAGAUAUCAGGAGGAACACCAGCGGCGAAGGCGGCGCUCUGGGCCGGUACUGACACUGAGGAGCGAAAGCGUGGGUAGCAAACAGG
rnacentral:rRNA from 1 species